UACGUAGGAUGCAAGCGUUGUCCGGAUCUAUUGGGUUUAAAGGGUGCGUAGGUGGCCCGGUAAGUCAGAGGUGAAAGUCGAUUGCUCAACGAUCGAACUGCCUUUGAUACUGCCGGACUUGAAUCAGAUUGAGGUUGGCGGAAUUGGUGGUGUAGCGGUGAAAUGCAUAGAUACCAUCAGGAACUCCGAUUGCGAAGGCAGCCAACUAAGUCUGUAUUGACACUGAGGCACGAAAGCGUGGGGAUCAAACAGG
rnacentral:rRNA from 1 species